rnacentral:rRNA from 1 species
GACGAACGCUGGCGGCGUGCCUAACACAUGCAAGUCGAACGAGUGGCGAACGGGUGAGUAACACGUGGGUGAUCUGCCUUGCACUCCGGGAUAAGCUUGGGAAACUGGGUCUAAUACCGGAUAGUGCAAGAUGAGCUCGCGGCCUAUCAGCUUGUUGGUGGGGUAAUGGCUACCAAGGCUCGACGGGUAGCCGGCCUGAGGGGGUGUACGGCCACAUUGGGACUGAGAUACGGCCCAGACUCCGACGGGAGGCAGCAGUGGGGAAUAUUGCACAAUGGGCGGAAGCCUGAUGCAGCGACGCCGCGUGGGGGAUGAAGGCCUUCGGGUUGUAAAGUACUUUCAGUCGGGAGGCGUUACCGACAGAAGAAGCACCGGCUAACUCCGUGCCAGCAGCCGCGGUAAUUC